AACGAACGCUGGCGGCAGGCCUAACACAUGCAAGUCGAACGCUCCGCAAGGAGAGUGGCAGACGGGUGAGUAACGCGUGGGAAUCUUCCUAUCGGUACGGAAUAGCUCAGGGAAACUUGGGGUAAUACCGCAUACGCCCUUACGGGGAAAGAUUUAUCGCCGAUAGAUGAGCCCGCGUCUGAUUAGCUAGUUGGUGAGGUAACGGCUCACCAAGGCGACGAUCAGUAGCUGGUCUGAGACGAUGACCACCCACACUGGGACUGGGACUCGGCCCAGACUCCUGCGGCAGUCAGUGGUGGAGAAUAUUGGACAAUGGGCGUUACCCUCAUCCAGCCAUCCCGCGGGUGUGCCGAAGGUCUUCGGAGUGUAAAGCUCUUUUGGCGGUGACGUUGAUGACGGUACGCGCACAAUAAGCCCCGGUUAACUUCGUGCAAGACGCCGCCGUAACAC
rnacentral:rRNA from 1 species